UCUCUGGUGGUCUAGUGGUUAGGACCCGGCACUUUCACCGCUGUGGCCUGGUUCGAUCCCUGGCCUGGGAA
rnacentral:tRNA from 1 species